rnacentral:rRNA from 1 species
GAUCUAGUCCUAGUCUUAAAAUCAAUCAUUACUUAACUUAUACAUGCAAGUCUCCGCACCCCCGUGAAUACGCCCUCAAAUUCCAACUGGAACUGAUGGAGCCGGUAUCAGGCUCAAUUAUUUGCCUAAAACACCAAGCCUCGCCACAUCCACAAGGGCCAUUGCAGCAGUAAUUAACAUUGAACAUAAGCGCCAGCUUGAUUCAGUCAAAGUAAUAAUGAGCUGGCAAAGCUAGUGCCAGUCGCCUCGGCUAAACUACAUCAGCCCAAAUUGAUUUCCAUCGGCGUAAAGCGUGAUUAAACUUAAUUUUUAUGCUAGAGUUAAAAUUUAAUAUCUAUUAAAUAAGAAAUUCAAUAACGAAAGUCACUCUACUUUAUCAACUUGAAUUCACGAAAACUUGGGCCCAAACUGAGAUUAGACACCUCACUAUGCCUUGUCUUAAACUUUCACUUACACUAAAGCCGCCAG